AGCGAACGCUGGCGGCAGGCUUAACACAUGCAAGUCGAGCGCCCCGCAAGGGGAGCGGCAGACGGGAGAGUAACACGUGGGAACAUACCUUUUGGUUCGGAACAACUGAGGGAAACUUCAGCUAAUACCGGAUAAGCCCUUACGGGGAAAGAUUUAUCGCCGAAAGAUUGGCCCGCGUCUGAUUAGCUAGUUGGUGGGGUAAUGGCCCACCAAGGCGACGAUCAGUAGCUGGUCUGAGAGGAUGAUCAGCCUCAUUGGGACUGAGACACGGCCCAAACUCCUACGGGAGGCAGCAGUGGGGAAUAUUGGACAAUGGGCGCAAGCCUGAUCCAGCCAUGCCGCGUGAGUGAUGAAGGCCUUAGGGUUGUAAAGCUCUUUUGCCCGGGAAGAUAAUG
rnacentral:rRNA from 1 species